ACUCUCUGGUUUCCUUGACCAGCAGACCUGAACACUGAUCUGAGUGGCUAUAAAAAGGAGGAAACAUAUCAUUGAAACUGGCAAACAAUGUUCUGACACAGAAGUUAGUUUCAAACAAAC
rnacentral:snoRNA from 1 species